UAGGCAACAGGUAACUCAAGCAUGAUAUCAACUCCGGUGCUGGCUUCUGUAAUGGCAGUGUUUUGCACAGGAGACCAUAGGCUCUAUCACUGAACAUAUGAUGGCCGAGCACUGCACCAGGGACAACAGCGUCUUACUAUCAAGACACAGAACUCUCGGCUCCUCCUGCACCGCGUCUGCCUGCACGCUGCCAUGCUUCCUACCAUGAUAAUAAGGACUGACCCUCUGAACUGUAAGUCAGCCCCAAGUAAAUGUUGCUGUAACAUGGUGUCUUUACAGCAAUGAAGCCCAAACACACA